GGACACGCCUCCUAGGGAGCGGAACGCAGGCGACGCGUGUCGGGGCGGCUCUAGAGGGAGUUACGUGUACGGGUUUCCGCGGGCGGCAGUUGCCCGUCACGUGACUUGGGCAAGAUGGCGGCUCCCACGGAAGGGACCGAUCUGGAAGCCUCCCUGUUGAGCUUUGAGAAGCUGGACCGAGCAUCUCCAGACUUGUGGCCGGAGCAGCUACCAGGUGUUGCUGAAUUUGCUGCUUCCUUCAAAAGUCCUAUCACCAAUUCUCCUCCCAAAUGGAUGGCUGAACUAGAAAAUGAUGAUAUUGAUAUGUUAAAGGAGUUGGGGAGCCUUACCACAGCAAACCUAAUGGAGAAGGUUCGAGGCCUGCAGAACCUGGCUUAUCAGCUAGGACUGGAUGAAUGACACAGGGAGAAGGAUGACUCUUCCUCCACUCUACAUAAAUACCCUCUGGCCUGAAGUAGGCACCAGGCUGGGAGACAGGAAACCGUGAUCGGAGUCCCACUCUUCCUCAGAUUGGCCUUAAUUCUCAGCACUUUGCAACCAUUUUUAUUGGCCUCACAACCAUUCACCAGAAGGAAAGCAACUAGAGAAAUGACUCGAGGGAAGUUCCUGAACAUCCUGGAGAAACCCAAGAAGUAGCUGCUGUUACUGGAAUUCAGGCAAAAAUAUCCCUGUCUGGAUCAUCUCACCCCUCACUGCAGAUCCAGCUGAACACUGUGAUUUCCUAAAGAGAAGGAUAAAGCUCUUGGCUCUAGAGCUUCAGAAGCAAACCUCUCUACUGCUUCCACAGCUCUUCUCCUUACUGACGAGCAGCAUUCCAGACACUGCUCACAAUGAUUGCCAGUAGUUCCAUCAGCACUGAGACUUCAUCCAACCUUUUUGGCACCUGAUUGCCAGGAAAACUCAAAUCUAGCAUGCUGUGGCAAAGUUAUGCAGCAGUCUUUCUAUAAACCAUUCAAAGCAGUACAUCCCCAGUGGCCUCACUCAGUUGCUCUCAGUGGCGGCAUCUAUUAAACCAGGGCCUUUGUGAUGCUGGCCAGUACCUCUGGGUGAUGCAUUGACUCUUCCAUGUGUCUCUCUUGCCUUAGGAACAGUGAUUCCAUGUGUGUAAUUUCCAUGCUGAAAGCACCAUUGCAGUGCUGGUUAUAAGCAGGGUUCUGGAUGAAGACUGACAGUUCUAGGAUUGGUUAGUCCUGGAUCUGCACACUCGUACCCUGCUUACAAGGCAGGUGGAACUUGUUCUGUGUAUUAGAUUCACAUUACUCACACCCUUCAGAGGAGGAUGUCCUGCAAUCAAGCGAAGUCCUUCAAUCCUGUCUGUACUAUUCUGCUCUUCAUUCCACAAAUACUUGCAUCAGGUGCUAUGUGCACAGGGAGCUCCAUCUCGAUGCUAAACAUUUGUGUGUUCUCUUGUUAAACCUAGACCAAUGAACCAUAGGCAGUGAAUGAGAAAAGGUGGCUAUUACUGUGUCAUGAAAGAAAAUAUCCCUGUGGGAACUUCUGCCAGGACACAAACAGAUCUAUCAGCCCACUUUGCAAAUCCAGCUCAGUGAGAGUCCGGCUGAGGUACUGGAGGAAGAUACAGGGUUGAAAGGCAAUAAUGUUUUCAAUUAUAGAGAGCUUCAAGGUGGAGCGACUGUCUUGUUCACACCCCCGUGGGGAUAAUCUUCAUAAACAGCAUCUGCAUGCUUACACUUGAAAAUAGAAUUCUGAUGUUUUCCCACAUUAUUAGAAAACAGCAGCCCCAGAACUUGCUUCACCCGCAAACGUAGAAUGUGCACCCCAUUAAGGGGAGAAUUGUACUGUAAACUAGUAUCCUCCUGUACAGAUUGGGUCUCAUUCAUCUGGUACUGGAGUACUUUUUAGUGCCUUGAGGCCCAUCUGGUACUGGAGUACCUUUUAGUGCCUUUCCUCUUUUAACAUGCUGCUGUGUAUCAGUCCUGUGUUUUCAGAUUUUAUUUUUCUCUAUAAGGUUGACACAGCUCUUAUUUCACUCUGUUUUCUUUUGCCCAGUAAAAUUACGUAUUCUAGAGUUAACAAACUGGCCGUUCCUCAGGGCUAAAAAAUAGUACUAAAGUGCUGGUCCAAGAGCAGUUUUCUCUCUUUGUUUAAACAGUUUCAUACACAUUUUAGCAUGUGUGCCCUUUAAAUUUAGUCAUUCCCCAAUUUGCAGUUGGCUGUGAGGUGUGAAUUGAAUCGGGGCUGUACUUGUACAACAUCAUAUUAAUGGACUGUCCUUGAAGCAUUCUAUUCUUCUGUCUUGGGGCGGACUCUGAUUUUAGGCUCUGUGUGCAUUAGUGAGGAGCAGAUCUCUGCUUGGGAGCAGACUUCUGAUUUUUUACUAAAAUUUUUAAAGUCUUUCUAUCUUCAGUCUGUGGGUGCCUCCAUUUUGUCAACCAGAACUAGGCUAAAUUGGGAAAGCUCCUCUUCACUAAGCUUGCACAAUUAAGACCAUGUUCUGCAAAGACUUACUCAAGUGCUUAACUUUGAGCAUGUGAGCAGUCUGAUUGAACUCAGUGGGGCUGUACUCGUAUGCUUGUCUUUGGAGAAUUGAGGCUUAACAAAGCAGCUGCAUCUCUUGAAAGGAGGGGCAAUAGGAUAGUAGGAGAUGCAGAGAAGCUGAGAGUGGGGAGUCAGAGACAGGGAAGGGACUUGCUUAGUUGCUGGUCAGAAUGGACAUAGAUGUAGCUUUGAAAGUAUUAAUAUAACUUAUAUGUUUGUUGGACAAUAUUAACAUUUGUAUGUCUAGUUUGGAUGUGUUCUGUAUAUAUAGAAUGUGUGGCCCAAAGGUGACUGUUGUGAAUUUUGGUCCUUUGUUGCAUGUUAUGGAGGUCUGCCACUCUAAUGCAUGAGGUGUUUGGGAAGCUGAGAAGUAUAGAGGUAGACCCCGGAAGUUUGCCACGAAUCUGCAUGCCUAUUUUAUGAUCUGGCUGGUAAAAUAUCUCAAACUUCAAGUAGUUGGUACCAUAGCAUGUAAAAAAUCCUUUCUUCUACCCUCACCCUGUGCAGCAGUGCUUAUCUUCUAGCUACGGGCAGCAUGUGUUAUAUGCCUUAGAUUCAAGAUAUUUAUUGGUUGUGUACUUGUCAUGUAUAGAGAUAAUCAGUGAUUUUUUUUAUUGGUAGUAUUUACAUGUAUUUUUGUGUGUUAGAAAGAAGAUUGUAAUCUGUCUGUCUGUUGUUCUGUGUUCUUAUAAUAAACAAGUGCAAAGCUUACAGAAUGGUAUGAGUUUCCUUGAAAUGGCCCUGUGAAAUGUGGAAGCUGUGACCAACCACCUAGGAAAUGUUCCUUAGCAACAGAUUCUCCACCAUUAAAGUUUAAUAGUAAGGCAC